rnacentral:rRNA from 1 species
CAGUUCGGAUUGAAGGCUGAAAUUCGCCUUCAUGAAGCCGGAAUUGCUAGUAAUGGCAGGUCAGCAUACUGCCGUGAAUACGUUCCCGGGCCUUGUACACACCGCCCGUCACACCAUGAGAGUUGGGGAUACCCGAAGCCUGUGAGCCAACAGUAAUGAGGCAGCAGUCGAAGGUAGAAUCAAUGAUUGGGGUGAAGUCGUAACAAGGUAUC